AUAAAAUUGAGCAAAUCAAAUCACAUUUUAUUUGUCACGUGCGCCGAAUACAACAGUGAAAUGCUUAUUUACAAGCCCUUAACCAACAGUGCUUUAAGAGGUUAAAAAUAAGUGUUAAAUAAAAAAUAGAUUAGUAAAAAAAAAUAAUAAUUAAACAGCAGCAUUGAAAUAACAAUAGCGAGGCUAUAUACAGGGUAUUACGGGACAGAGUCAAUGUGGAGGCUAUAUACAGGGGGUACCGGUACAGAGUCAAUGUGGAGGCUAUAUACAGGGUAUUACGGUACAGAGUCAAUGUGGAGGCUAUAUACAG
rnacentral:lncRNA from 1 species